rnacentral:rRNA from 1 species
UACAGAGGGUGCGAACGUUGUUCGGAAUCACUGGGCAUAAAGCGCUCGUAGGCGGCACCGCAAGUGUGGGGUGAAAUCCCACGGCUUACCCGUGGAACUGCCUGGCAGACUGCGGUGCUAGAGGAUGGUAGGGGAGAGCGGAACUCUUGGUGGAGCGGUGAAAUGCGCAGAUAUCGGGAAGAACACCCGUGGCGAAGGCGGCUCUCUGGGACGGUACUGACGCUGAGACGCGAAAGCGUGGGGAGCGAACAGG